UACGGGAGGCAGCAGUGGGGAAUAUUGCACAAUGGGCGAAAGCCUGAUGCAGCUAUGCCGCGUGUAUGAAGAAGGCCUUAGGGUUGUAAAGUACUUUCAUCGGGGAGGAAAAAACAAAACUAAUAAUUUUAUUUCUUGACGUUACCCGAAAAAGAAGCACCGGCUAACUCCGUGCCAGCAGCCGCGGUAAUACGGAGGGUGCUAGCGUUAAUCAGAAUUACUGGGCGUAAAGAGCACGUAGGUGGUUUUUUUAAGUCAGAUGUGAAUCCCUGGGCUUAACCUAGGAACUGCAUUUUGAAACUGAAAUACUAGAGUAUCGUAGAGGGAGGUAGAAUUCUAGGUGUAGCGGUGAAAUGCGUAGAUAUCUGGAGGAAUACCUGUGGCGAAAGCGGCCUCCUAAACGAAUACUGACACUGAGGUGCGAAAGCGUGGGGAGCAAAACGAGGGAUUAGAUACC
rnacentral:rRNA from 1 species